rnacentral:misc_RNA from 1 species
AACAUCGCGCACCUGCGGGAACCUGCGGAGGGAUCAUUACAGAGUUGCAAAACUCCCUAAACCAUUGUGAACGUUACCUAAACCGUUGCUUCGGCGGGCGGCCCGGGUCCUUCCCGGCGCCCCUCGGCCCUCGCGGGCGCCCGCCGGAGGUAAACCAAACUAUUGCAUUGUAUGGCCUCUCUGAGUCUUCUGUACUGAAUAAGUCAAAACUUUCAACAACGGAUCUCCGAUCGGAAGAGC